GGCACUACGGUGCUGAAGCAACAAAUGCCCUGCUUCCAGGAAAAGCCUCUAAGCAUCAGGUAACAUCAAAUCGUACCCCAAACCGACACAGGUGGUCAGGUAGAGAAUACCAAGGCGCUUGAGAGAACUCGGGUGAAGGAACUAGGCAAAAUGGUGCCGUAACUUCGGGAGAAGGCACGCUGAUAUGUAGGUGAAGCGACUUGCUCGUGGAGCUGAAAUCAGUCGAAGAUACCAGCUGGCUGCAACUGUUUAUUAAAAACACAGCACUGUGCAAACACGAAAGUGGACGUAUACGGUGUGACGCCUGCCCGGUGCCGGAAGGUUAAUUGAUGGGGUUAGCGGUAACGCGAAGCUCUUGAUCGAAGCCCCGGUAAACGGCGGCCGUAACUAUAACGGUCCUAAGGUAGCGAAAUUCCUUGUCGGGUAAGUUCCGACCUGCACGAAUGGCGUAAUGAUGGCCAGGCUGUCUCCACCCGAGACUCAGUGAAAUUGAACUCGCUGUGAAGAUGCAGUGUACCCGCGGCAAGACGGAAAGACCCCGUGAACCUUUACUAUAGCUUGACACUGAACAUUGAGCCUUGAUGUGUAGGAUAGGUGGGAGGCUUUGAAGUGUGGACGCCAGUCUGCAUGGAGCCGACCUUGAAAUACCACCCUUUAAUGUUUGAUGUUCUAACGUUGGCCCGUUAUCCGGGUUGCGGACAGUGUCUGGUGGGUAGUUUGACUGGGGCGGUCUCCUCCUAAAGAGUAACGGAGGAGCACGAAGGUUGGCUAAUCCUGGUCGGACAUCAGGAGGUUAGUGCAAUGGCAUAAGCCAGCUUGACUGCGAGCGUGACGGCGCGAGCAGGUGCGAAAGCAGGUCAUAGUGAUCCGGUGGUUCUGAAUGGAAGGGCCAUCGCUCAACGGAUAAAAGGUACUCCGGGGAUAACAGGCUGAUACCGCCCAAGAGUUCAUAUCGACGGCGGUGUUUGGCACCUCGAUGUCGGCUCAUCACAUCCUGGGGCUGAAGUAGGUCCCAAGGGUAUGGCUGUUCGCCAUUUAAAGUGGUACGCGAGCUGGGUUUAGAACGUCGUGAGACAGUUCGGUCCCUAUCUGCCGUGGGCGCUGGAGAACUGAGGGGGGCUGCUCCUAGUACGAGAGGACCGGAGUGGACGCAUCACUGGUGUUCGGGUUGUCAUGCCAAUGGCACUGCCCGGUAGCUAAAUGCGGAAGAGAUAAGUGCUGAAAGCAUCUAAGCACGAAACUUGCCCCGAGAUGAGUUCUCCCUGACUCCUUGAGAGUCCUGAAGGAACGUUGAAGACGACGACGUUGAUAGGCCGGGUGUGUAAGCGC
rnacentral:rRNA from 1 species